UGAGGAAUAUUGGUCAAUGGCCGAGAGGCUGAACCAGCCAAGUCGCGUGAGGGAUGAAGGUUCUAUGGAUCGUAAACCUCUUUUAUAAGGGAAUAAAGUGACCCACGUGUGGGUUUUUGUAUGUACCUUAUGAAUAAGGAUCGGCUAACUCCGUGCC
rnacentral:rRNA from 1 species